CCUACGGGAGGCAGCAGUGGGGAAUUUUGGACAAUGGGCGAAAGCCUGAUCCCGCAAUGCCGCGUGAGCGAAGAAGGCCUUCGGGUUGUAAAGCUCUUUUGUCAGGGAAGAAACGGUGAGGGCUAAUAUCCUUUGCUAAUGACGGUACCUGAAGAAUAAGCACCGGCUAACUACGUGCCAGCAGCCGCGGUAAUACGUAGGGUGCAAGCGUUAAUCGGAAUUACUGGGCGUAAAGCGUGCGCAGGCGGUUUUGUAAGUCUGUCGUGAAAUCCCCGGGCUCAACCUGGGAAUUGCGAUGGAGACUGCAAGGCUAGAAUCUGGCAGAGGGGGGUAGAAUUCCACGUGUAGCAGUGAAAUGCGUAGAGAUGUGGAGGAACACCGAUGGCGAAGGCAGCCCCCUGGGUCAAGAUUGACGCUCAUGCACGAAAGCGUGGGGAGCAAACAGGAUUAGAUACCCUGGUAGUCCACGCCCUAAACGAUGUCUACUAGUUGUACGGUUUUAAUUAACUUGGUAACGCAGCUACGCGUGAGAGACGCCGNGGGAGGUACGGUCGCGAGAAGUAAACGUACGUUAAGAAGUAGUUAGCGUGNGAGNGCGACGGACGACGACGAGGGAGGAGG
rnacentral:rRNA from 1 species